GACGAACGCUGGCGGCGUGCUUAACACAUGCAAGUCGAACGGAAAGGCCCUGCUUGCGGGGUACUCGAGUGGCGAACGGGUGAGUAACACGUGGGUGAUCUGCCCUGCACUUCGGGAUAAGCCUGGGAAACUGGGUCUAAUACCGGCUAGGAGCCAUUUUUAGUGUGAUGGUUGGAAAGUUAUUUCGGUGUAGGAUGAGCUCGCGGCCUGUCAGCUUGUUGGUGGGGUAAUGGCCUACCAAGGCGGCGACGGGUAGCCGGCCUGAGAGGGUGGACGGCGACACUGGGACUGAGAUACGGCCCAGACUCCGACGGGAGGCAGCAGGGGGGAAGCUUGCCCAAUGGGCGCAAGGCUGAUGCAGCGACGCCGCGGGGCGGAUGACGGUCUUCGGGUGGAAAACUCCUUUCGCUAGGGACGAAGCUUUUUGUGACGGUACCUAGACAAGAAGCACCGGCUAACUACGUG
rnacentral:rRNA from 1 species